rnacentral:rRNA from 1 species
CCUACGGGAGGCAGCAGUGAGGAAUAUUGGUCAAUGGAGGCAACUCUGAACCAGCCAUGCCGCGUGCAGGAAGACUGCCCUAUGGGUUGUAAACUGCUUUUAUACAGGAAGAAACUUACCCACGUGUGGGUAACUGACGGUACUGUACGAAUAAGGACCGGCUAACUCCGUGCCAGCAGCCGCGGUAAUACGGAGGGUCCAAGCGUUAUCCGGAAUCAUUGGGUUUAAAGGGUCCGUAGGCGGGCGAUUAAGUCAGAGGUGAAAUCCCACAGCUCAACUGUGGAACUGCCUUUGAUACUGGUUGUCUUGAGUUACAGUGAAGUAGAUAGAAUAUGUAGUGUAGCGGUGAAAUGCAUAGAUAUUACAUAGAAUACCGAUUGCGAAGGCAGUCUACUAACUGUUAACUGACGCUGAGGGACGAAAGCGUGGGGAGCGAACAGGAUUAGAUACCCUGGUAGUCCACGCCGUAAACGAUGGUCACUAGUUGUUGGGGCUUUAUGCUUCAGUGAUUAAGCGAAAGUGAUAAGUGACCCACCUGGGGAGUACGAUCGCAAGAUUGAAACUCAAAUGAAUUGACGGA